ACGGCCUACAGCAGCAUCUACUUGACCAAGCAUUGUGGAAGCAUGCCUGUGAUUACCUCAUGGAGAUCAGAUCUCCGUCACCUCGCAAGAAGCCCGCCUUCUUACGGAAAUCCUCCAUCUACGAUGACACACCUCUAUCAGGUGGGCAGAGAUAUGAUUUAUGUUCUUAGAAAUUUAAAAGAAAAAGGUGAAAUAUGACAAUGAUUAUAUGUAUACUUCAAAUGUUUAGAAGGACUUAAAAUAAUAGUUAUAUUUUUUUAAAUGUAGACAAAGCCACCCAACGCCCAAGCAGUGUUGUAGGGGAAUUAAAGAAAGAAGACGAUCAGCUCAGCGAGAUGUUGAAUACUCUGAUGGGAGAGGCCAAGCAAAUCAGGGGAGAAAACUCAUACACAACAACAGUGUAACCAAUAGGAGUUGUUUCCCUUUUUCGAACUGACAAAAAAAAUACAAAACCCAUUCCUUACAGUACACCGUGUUGUGUUCACCAGGAACAAGUGAAGUGCUAUGUAAAGGAUCAUAUGUAAACCAGAACAAUACUCCGUACUCAUGCGUAAUGUGCAAUCCAUUGUCUGAUAAUCCACAAAGCAGACGCUCUAAACCUGCACACUCUAGUGCUACUGAUGAGUUUGGUAUUUAAUGUACAUAUUAACCUGUAGAUCAUGUUAGAGUGAAUGGAAGAAGUUUUGCAUUGUGAGGUUUUUGUUGAGAGCAGCUUUCAUUCUGCUGAGGACCAAAGAGUUAUCUUUCCUAGAAAGGCAUUCUUUUGUAUUGGAACUUGGUUUCUUUUUAUUUUUCCCUCUUGAGGGAAAAACAGACAUAAAUAAACUAGUCAGAAUGUUAUAUCAAGGCAGCUUAUUAUGUAAUUUUUAGAAGCUAGGAAAAAUGUUACAAAUUUCGAGGGGAAUAACCUGAUAUAAAUUGCUAUAUUUAGAAUACAAGUGUAGAAGACAGGAAAUUUUUAUUUAUUUAUACAUGAUUUUUUUUAAUGCUGACUGCUCAUAUUUUAAAUAGAUUUUUAAUGUUUUCUUAAACUAGGAAAUGUUUUCUCUUAGAAUUUGUUUUAGAAUUUUUUUUAUUAAGAAGUACCUCUUUUAUUGGACCAUUUACUGAGGAUCAUGUCCUUGCUAGUUAUUGUCUGUUAUAGUUAAUACAUGUGAUUGAGUGAUGUCAUGUGUUUUAUUAUCCUCAGGUGUUAUAAGUCUGCCUUUCUCUGUUGUUUUUUUGUGUGUAUGCGUGUAAACAUCUGUACAUAUAUGUAAAACUGCUUAUGAAAUACCUGUGGAAAUCUUACCCUCCAGGUUCUGAUAUUUGAUCUUCCAUUUUUUUUUCCUCUUUCUUCCUCUAUCUUUAUUUUCUCUUGGCUGAAAAUCAAAUCUCCACUUUUAUUUAAUGAUACAAUGUAAACUGGAGGUAAUAACAUCUAAUCUGAAUAAAUGCAUUGAAAAGA
rnacentral:misc_RNA from 1 species